CUCUCUCUCUCUCGCUCGCUCGCUCGCUCUCGCUCAUCGCUUUGAAGCCCUCUUCCAUCAAAUCCACUCGAAACCUCAGCGGCCAAUUAGAUUGCUUGCUUCAGCUCGCCCUCUCAAUUUUUGAACAGCCGUUUUAUUAAACAGGUCUUUAUAGCCAUGGAUGGAACCCUAAGCGAAGAUGAUGGCUUGAUAAGAGAUAGCCACAUGGAUCUCAACGAUUCCAUUACCGACCCUCGAAUGGCACUUGCUUUCACUGCCUUGGGGGUUGAGCUCAACACUACUAUGAUCCCAACUCACCUCCUCCACAUGGAGACUGCUGAAGUUGGAGAGCCGACCAUUGGCAUGGAGUUUGACUCUGACGAGGCGGCGAAGGAAUACUAUGUAGCCUAUGCCACUUGCAUAGGUUUCGGUGUUAGAAUGAAUAAAUCUCGUCGAUCUAGGAAAGAUGAUACUGUUAUCAUGCGACGGUUUGUGUGCACAAGAGAGGGAUUCCACUCCAAGAGGGUAAUUUAUGACGAUGGAAAGAAGAAGAGGAAGCGGGGGACAACCAGGGAAGGAUGUAUGGCCAUGAUUGAAGUAAUUAGAAAAGGACACGGGAAAUGGGUGGUUACUAAGCUCAUAACCGAUCAUACUCAUAUGGUUGCGAUCCCAUCCAAGGUCCGACCUCGUGUUGACAGAUCAAUGGUCUCCAGCAAUGCAUCGUUGCUUCAUGGGGAAUCAAGUGGGGGAUUUAAUAAUUUAAGGAACUUUAAUAGAGGAAUCAGGGUCAAUCCCUUUGGAGAAGGAGGAGAGGCUCAGGGACUGCUAGAGUACCUUCAAAGGAUGCAAGCUGAAAACCCUUCUUUCUUUUAUGCUAUUCAAGUUGAUAACAACAAUUGUAUGACCAAUGUAUUUUGGGCUGAUGCUAGGUCUAGAAUGGCCUACCAGCAUUUUGGUGAUGCUGUCACAUUUGACACAACCUACAAGAAGACUAAAUACAUGAUGCCUUUUGCGACAUUCAGGGGGAUGAAUCAUCAUUUGCAGUCGGUUACCUUUGGGUGUGCCUUGCUUAUGGAUGAGACCCGGGGUUCAUAUGUUUGGCUCUUUGAGACUUGGAUUGCAGCAAUGGGAGGCCAGCAUCCUGUUUCUUUGGUUACUGACAGAGAUAAAGCCAUGGAAGGAGCUAUCCUUAGGGUUUUUACAAAUACUCGUCACUUAUUUUGUAAACAGCACAUAUUAAGUAGAUCAAAGCAGAAGCUCUCUGAUAUCUAUUUGAAGCAUGGUACUUUGAAAAGGGAACUUAAAGAAUGCAUUAAUGGAUCUGAGACCAUCGAGGACUUCGAGACUCGUUGGGAGUACAUUCUUGAUAAGUAUAAUCUUUGGGAGAACCCAUGGUUACAUUUACUUUAUGAAAUCCGGGAACGAUGGUCCAUAGUGUACCACAAAGACAUCUUCUUCCCCGAAUUGUUAGCAUCUCAAAGAUCGGAGAGUUUGAACAAGUUUUUCAAGAGGAACUUUAAUACAAAGACCUCUCUACUUGUGUUUAUAUCAAGAUUUGAUCAAGCCAUGUCUUCUCAGUAUGAGAAAGAAGCACAAGCUGAUUAUGCCACAGUAUAUUCAAAGCCUCUUUUAAGGACCCCUUCGCCUAUGGAGAAACAAGCUGCCGAUAUUUACACGAAUGCCGUGUUCGACAAGUUUCAGGAAGAAUUCGUUGAAUCUUUAGGCUACUAUGUUGAGAAAAUCGAAGAUGGACCUGUUAGCAAGUACAGUGUGGCUAGAGAGGAGGAUAAUGGUAAGAGCUACAUUGUGAGUUUCAGCGAUUCUGAAAAGAAAGCAAACUGUAGCUGUUACAAGUUUGAAUACUGUGGGAUUUUAUGUAGACACGUGUUACGGGUCUUUUUUAUUGUUGGCGUCCGUAUUCUACCAGAACAGUACAUAUUGAAACGAUGGACAAGGAAUGCCACAAGCAAUGUAGUUCUAGAUGAAAGAGUUGUUGAUUCUGGACUUAGUUUUCAAGAGUAUCUUGUUGCUUGGUAUAAUGAUCUCUGCCUUGAUGCGGUUAAAUAUGGGAUGGAGGGGGCUACCUCUGCGGAGGUUUACAAGGUCGCAAAAAAUGCGAUUCAGAAAGCUUUUGCUGAAGUUGUUGGUGCAAAGAACAUGCAAAGAAAGGGACAACAGAAUAAUCAGAGGUUUGCUAGGAUGCAGAAGAUGCAAUACAAAAUGCCUUUACCAAAGUUGCAGCCAAAGAAGACGUCCUCAAGAGUAGUUCAACAUGAAGAAGCUGGUAGGAGUAAAAGAAAUGCUAAAGAAGACAUGCUGGAUGCAAAUGAUCCUGAUCUUAAUGGAGGUGCUCACUGAUGAAAGAUGCAGGCCUCUUGUGAUGAUUGACUACUUCUUAUACACAGUCCACGAGGUAUCAUAUAUCGAGGACAUUUUAAGCCACACCUCAUAUGAGACUAUUAGAUUGGGGUGUAAUAAUCUCUCUCUCCCCCCCACAUUUUAAGAUAGGCGGCCAAUGAAAUAAGUUUAAAGUUCAAGGGGGUUUGUUGAAAUAGUGCAAAGUUCAGGGUGAUUAUGUGCAAAAUCUCUAAGGAUCAGGGGAUUUUGUGAAACUUGCCCUAAUGGAAAAGCAACCUAGCCCCUUCUCUUCCUUCCUCGCGCCUCUCCCCUCUUUCAUUCUCCAUAUGUACAGUGGUUCCUCCAGCAUUAAGGCAUGAGUCAUAUUUUAAAGCCUGUGGUACGUAUUAUUUUGAGAAUCUGUUAGCAACAAUUUUACUUGUGUACAUAUAUUAAGUCACAUGUAAUACUGACAUAAGUAACGUAAACGAGGAAUUUCGUUGGUUCGAUCUGUGUGAUGCCUUGAAGCACUGGGGUGUUUAAUGUGAGAAAUGUAUUUUACAUUGUGCUCAUUGUUAUGUUCUCUUGGGCUCAAUAUAGAAUCUAUUGAGAUAGUGCUGCAGUGAGCCCUAUGUUGUAAUGUUGUUUUUUUUUGGCAGAGUGAGGCUUAUUUUUUUUUU